AGGGAUCAUUACCGAGUUAGUCACAACUCCACCCUUUGUGAACCUUACCGUUGUUUCCUCGGCGCACUGCUGCGGGAAGCUACCCUGUAGUGGUUGUUUACCCUACAGCUCGCACCCUGCAACGGCGCCGAAAGGACUCCCAAAACUCUUUUAUCUAAAUUACCUCGAACAAUUUACUAUACAAUAAUAUUAAAACUUUCAACAACGGAUYUUUUGGUUCUGGCAUCGAUGAAGAACGCCACGRAAUGCGAUAAGUAAUGUGAAUUGCAAAAUUCAAUGAAUCAUCGAAUCUUUGAACGCACAUUGCGCCCMUUAGUAUUCUUGUGGGCAUGCCUAUUCCAGCGUCAUUUCACCCUUAAASCCUGGUGCUUAGCGUUGGGGAUUUGCUGCUUCGGGGCAGUUUCCUUAAAUCCUUGGGGGACUGUGGGCACAUCUAGCGUAUUAUUUUAAAACACCUCGCCUUAAGUGUGGCCUCGGACACUGCCCCGUAACCCCCUAUAUUUCWAGGUGUUGACCUGGGUUUAUGUGRGAAUACCCGGAGAACUUAAGCAUAUCAAUAAGCAGGAGAAAAGAAACCAACGGAUUUUGCUCUAGUAACGGAGAGURAAGCGGCAACAGCUCAAUUUUGAAAUCUGGCCCUCGUGGUCCGAGUUGUAAUUUGCAGGAGAUGCUUGGUGUGCGGUGCCUUCCGAGUUCCCUGGAACGGGACGCCAGAGAGGGUGAGAGCCCCGUACGGUUGGCCGCCUACCCUAUAUAUAGCUCCUUAGAAGAGUCGAGUAGUUUGGGAAUGCUGCUCUAAAUGGGAGGUAAAUUUCUUCUAAAGCUAAAUACCGGCCAGAGACCGAUAGCGCACAAGUAGAGUGAUCGAAAGAUGAAAAGCACUUUGAAAAGAGGGUUAAAUAGCACGUGAAAUUGUUGAAAGGGAAGCGUUUGCGACCAGACUUUUUCCAGGCGGAUCAUCCGGUGUUCUCACCGGUGCACUUCGCCUGGUUUAGGCCAGCAUCGGUUUCUCUAGGGGGAUAAAGGCCUGGGGAACGUAGCUCUUUUAGGGAGUGUUAUAGCCCCUUGCGUAAYACCCCUCGGGGGACCGAGGACCGC
rnacentral:rRNA from 1 species